AACGAACGCUGGCGGCAGGCUUAACACAUGCAAGUCGAGCGCAUCCUUCGGGGUGAGCGGCAGACGGGUGAGUAACACGUGGGGAUCUGCCCAAUGGUACGGAAUAACUCAGGGAAACUUGUGCUAAUACCGUAUGAGUCCGCAAGGGGAAAGAUUUAUCGCCAUUGGAUGAACCCGCGUCGGAUUAGCUAGUUGGUGUGGUAAAGGCGCACCAAGGCGACGAUCCGUAGCUGGUCUGAGAGGAUGAACAGCCACACUGGGACUGAGACACGGCCCAGACGCCUACGGAAGGCAGCAGUGGGGAAUAUUGGAAAAUGGGCGCAAGCCUGAUCCAGCCAUGCCGCGUGUAUGAUGAAGGUCUUAGGAUUGUAAAAUACUUUCACCUUGGAAGAUAAUGGCGGUACCCGGAGAAGAAGCCCCGGCUAACUUCGUGCCAGCAGCCGCGGUAAUAC
rnacentral:rRNA from 1 species